rnacentral:rRNA from 1 species
GGUUGACCUCGAUCAAGUAGGGAUACCCG